CAUGGAAGUUAUACAGCUCACGUAUCACACUUAAUAUUGAAUAUAUAUAAAAAGGGUUUUCCAAAAGGACCACUUAUAAGCGAAAUACAAAACUUCACACACGAUUUUGAGCACAACAGGGCGCUCAGUGAACAGCACUUCCGGGACCUGCAUCACCGGAGGGGGACAUCUAUCUUGGCCACAAACCAUCUUUGACAGUCUUCGACAGCAUGGUUGAAUCAGGCGCAUCAACACAUGAUAUAGACAUCGUGUCCAAAAGAAGAGCGAGACGUAAUCCUGAGGCUGAAGCCACCGAGUUUAUUUGAUCUGGAUGUGACAAGUCUUGUUUUAAGGCCCAGUGGAUCAAUGAUUGGAAAGACACCAACUGUUGAUGUUCUAUCUCACCAUUCUCCAGACUCAUGUGAGCGAUAAACCGACUUCAUCC